ACAUCCCCUUGCGCAGCCCCCGACUGGCUUCCGCUCUCGCCUCUCUCCUCGUCAGAUCUCUUGCGCAGUCUUGGCCAUCCUGCCGUUCUUUUUCCCGUCGACCUUUCCGUUGGCCUUGUCGGCUGUCACUGUUGCGGGUUCGCAAUGCCAUUCAGGAUCAACACGGUCCUCUACGCCAUCCUUCAGUUCAUCGCGUUCCUCUUGGUGCUGGUGGCUACGCCGAUCGACAUGUUCCGCCAGUAUCCCAUAAUAAUAUCGAAGGCAGCGUGUCUGACGUUGUGGGGGUCGAAGAGGACUUGCUCUGGACUGGGGUACGAUAUCGACGUGACGAGCUAUUGGGUGUUAUGCCCGAAGUCUCGGAAACGGUGGCGUAGAGCAGAGUUAUUUGCCAUCCUCUCCAUAUUCGUGUACGGCACGGCGUUUAUUUUCGGCUGCGUUAAGGUCUACGUAUGUGGUUUCCUCCGCUGGGUCUGCCUGGCGCUCAACGUUGCCGGCAUCGCCACACUGUGCGUUGUCUGGGGACUUGUAGUCUUCGUCUACCAUGUGCCUGAGAACAUAAAUUGUAUAAGCCUAAAGGAUUUCAAUUACCAUUUCGGAGCCGGCUUGAUUCUCUUCCUGGUGGCCUGGUGUCUGAACAUCAUCAACAUCGUCUUUUUGCUGCUCCCCUGCGAUGCCAGCGUUUCCAUCGAGCCCUCAAAUCACGAGCUUUCUAUGGGGCGAACACAGGCGGCUGUGAAGUGAAGUGAAGGAAGCGGCCGGCGAGCCUGACAGCAGCGCGGCACACACACCGUGACGCCCUCGUGGAGGAGCCGGCGGAGCUGAUCGCAGCGAGAGAGAGGGAGCGGAUGCCGCUGACCCUCGCCGGCCCACCUCUCUCGCUGCCUUCUCGUGCGUGCGUGUGCGCUUCCUCUGGGGUCGUUCUCCCCCUCCCUCCAAAUGCCGGUGCCGUGCACGGCGACCUGCGCUGUGUGGUGAGCAACGCGCGCCUGGCGCCGACAAGCCCAUCCAUGCCCCGUCCCCCCUCUGAGCCCCUCGCCUUGGCUGCCGUGUCGGAGCCACGCCCCCCCCCACUCACGCUCGCCCGGCGCACCGCCGCCGAGGCGGGGAGCGAAGGAAGACGCGGGACGCCGGCGCGUGCGCUGCCGCUCCCCCUCCCCUCACGCACGCCUCACGCGCUACCUGAGCGGCGAAGGGCGAGGAUGGGGAGGGGGAGUGGAGGGCGAGGUGCCACAGGAGAGGGAGUGGCGGGGAGGUGUGGGAAUGAGGCGGGCUGGUGGGCAGGCGCGUCGGGGCAGGGAGAGGACGGCGUCUGUGCGCACGCGCACCCACGCGCGCCGGUGCACAAGAGGGCACCUCCCACACGGCGUGUGCAUGCGCGCAGGCACAUGCGCCCCCGUCACCCUCCUCCUCCUUUCUCCGUGGAUCCCCCGCCACCUCGCCCUUCUUCUGUCGCUGCCACUCCCCCACGCCCCUGGCGGCACACCCGCGACGGGAAG
rnacentral:misc_RNA from 1 species